GCAAGAUCUUGACAACUGGGAAGCAGAUUUCAGCAACUGACUAUACAGAGCACAAUGGUCACAGAGGCUACGCAACAAGCCCUAAAGGUGAUUUCCUUUCGCUUGUUAUUGAUGUGACCUUCUCUCUUUCAUGCUUUCCAGAUGCUGGAACUCUUCAAGACUGAAUUCUUAAGAUCAUACUAUUUGGUAUAACUCAUCCAGACAAACUAACAUUCCUUCACAGCUACUAAUACCAUUUAGAUUCACACUCACUCUUCAUUUAUUCUUAACAGUACUGGCAGCAGAAGAAAAAGAACAGUCAAGCUGUGUUAAAAUGUAUUAAUCCUUGUUAGCUGCUCAUAUGUAUCCGCACUGAUAAAAGAUCAGUUUGAGAAAUUUUACAUGCAAGGAGAUAACAAGGAAACAAGUUCCCUCAAAAUCAAAUACAGUGGUACCUCUGGUUGCGGACGGGAUCCAUUCCGGAGGUCCGGGUCAGAUCCCGAGGUUUCCACAACCCGAGGAGCGCUUCUGCGCAUGUGGCAAAACCUGGUAAAAUACUUCUGGGUUUGCCGUGCGCACAUCCCAAAGUUUAUGUAAACAGAGGGUUACGUAAACGGAGGUAUGACUGUAAGCUUAACAUCCAAGUAAAUGUGUUUAGGGCCUCUUUGGCUGGAUUUGAACUGUGAAGUUAGCAUCUUAGUCAAAGUUAGGAUUCAGAAGCAGGAAGCAGGUGCUUAAACAAGGCACAAUACAAGCUGCAAGGUGCAAAAUCAGAUAAAAUACAAAAUAUUGGCCAUGUGUAUAAUAAAUAGGUAUAUAAAGUACAAAACACUACUUCCUUCCAAGAUUUUUUGCAGCAAACGGUGGCAGCAGGGGCAAAUUUAAGAGCAGACAAAGAGCAAACAAGCUGUUGGCACGAUUCUCACAGGGAAUCAUGUUUCCUUUCCCCCCUUUCUUGUUAGAUUCUUCCACAUAAUGAAAUAGAAGAUUAUCAAUGAUCCAUAAGAAGAAAAGCCGUGUGACUGCAUUCUUCUAAAGAUGCAAUUCUGAAACCACCAAAAGGCUCCCAAUGACUCCAAAGCAAUUUGAAUCACAAAGCAGCAGCCACCAAACCUGAAAACAGCACCAACACGUCCUGCCCUACCUGCAGCAAGCAGGCUACCUGCAUCAGAAGAGGAGAUGGACAUGCGUUGGGAGGGCUGGGAAACAAGCAGCACCAGGACACUGCGUAAUUGAAUAAAUGCUAGGCAUGUGAUUGGAGGAUAGGAC